GACGAACGCUGGCGGCGUGCUUAACACAUGCAAGUCGAACGGUGAAGCGCCUUCCUUUUUGGUGGGUGUGGAUGAGUGGCGAACGGGUGAGUAACACGUGAGUAACCUGCCCCCUUCUUCUGGAUAACCGCAUGAAAGUGUGGCUAAUACGGGAUAUUCUGGGUCUGUCGCAUGAUGGGUCUGGGAAAGAUAUUGUUUCGGUGGGGGAUGGGCUCGCGGCCUAUCAGCUUGUUGGUGGGGUGAUGGCCUACCAAGGCGGUGACGGGUAGCCGGCCUGAGAGGGUGGACUGUAACAGUGGGGAUGAGACACGGCCCAGACUCCUACGGGAGGCAGCAGUGGGGAAUAUUGAACAAUGGGCGCAAGCCUGAUGCAGCGACGCCGCGUGAGGGAUGGAGGCCUUCGGGUUGUGAACCUCUUUCGCCAGUGAAGCAGGCCUGCCUAGUUUGUGGGUGGGUUGACGGUAGCUGGAUAAGAAGCGCCGGCUAACUACGUG
rnacentral:rRNA from 1 species